rnacentral:rRNA from 1 species
UACGUAGGGGGCGGGCGUUGUCCGGAAUUAUUGGGCGUAAAGAGCUUGUAGGCGGUCUGUCGCGUCUGCUGUGAAAAUCCGGAGCUCAACCCCGGACUUGCAGUGGGUACGGGCAGACUAGAGUGUGGUAGGGGAGACUGGAAUUCCUGGUGUAGCGGUGAAAUGCGCAGAUAUCAGGAGGAACACCGAUGGCGAAGGCAGGUCUCUGGGCCGCUACUGACGCUGAGAAGCGAAAGCAUGGGGAGCGAACAGG